rnacentral:tRNA from 1 species
UGCCGGUGGCGCGGCCUCGCGCGCUGGUCGUCGCCCAGCUCGGCCAGUCGCUGGACGGCCGGAUCGCCACCGUCACCGGCGCC